GAGUUUGAUCUUGGCUCAGAUUGAACGCUGGCGGCAUGCCUUACACAUGCAAGUCGAACGGCAGCACGGGAGCUUGCUCCUGGUGGCGAGUGGCGAACGGGUGAGUAAUGCAUCGGAACGUAUCCUGGAGUGGGGGAUAACGUAGCGAAAGUUACGCUAAUACCGCAUAUUCUGUGAGCAGGAAAGCGGGGGACCUUCGGGCCUCGCGCUCUUGGAGCGGCCGAUGUCGGAUUAGCUAGUUGGUGAGGUAAAGGCUCACCAAGGCGACGAUCCGUAGCAGGUCUGAGAGGAUGAUCUGCCACACUGGAACUGAGACACGGUCCAGACUCCUACGGGAGGCAGCAGUGGGAAUUUUGGACAAGUGGGGGCAACCCUGAUCCAGCCAUGCCGCGUGAGUGAAGAAGGCC
rnacentral:rRNA from 1 species